CACAGGAUAAUUUGAUGAACCACACAUA
rnacentral:piRNA from 1 species